UCAAAACAGAUUUUGUGGGACUCCAAGA
rnacentral:piRNA from 1 species